UCGUUAGUAUGGAUGAUUUUCAGUGAACUAUUUGAAAAGGCUCUAUGGCAUUUGCUAAUAGAAAUGGCACUAAUAAAGGACACCUCGGGUUCUCAGUUCGGUCUUGAUAACUUUGGACUUAACUUUAACUGAUUAUUUGGUACCUUCCUUGGGCUGUUCAUGGAAUAGAGAGCGUUAUUGCUUUUUAUUUGGCGAAUAAAUACAAGUUAUCCAC